rnacentral:rRNA from 1 species
AAGCACGGUGACGUGUGGAGCUGACGGAUACUAAUCGUUCGAGGACUUAACCUA